AUUGAACGCUGGCGGAAUGCUUUACACAUGCAAGUCGAACGGCAGCACGGACUUCGGUCUGGUGGCGAGUGGCGAACGGGUGAGUAAUGAAUCGGAACGUGCCCAGUCGUGGGGGAUAACGUAGUGAAAAUUACGCUAAUACCGCCUACGAUCUAUGGAUGAAAGCGGGGGAUCGCAAGACCUCGCGCGAUUGGAGCGGCCGAUAUCAGAUUAGGUAGUUGGUGGGGUAAAGGCCCACCAAGCCAACGAUCUGCAGCUGGUCUGAGAGGACGACCAGCCACACUGGAACUGAGACACGGUCCAGACUCCUACGGGAGGCAGCAGUGGGGAAUUUUGGACAAUGGGCGAAAGCCUGAUCCAACCAUUCCGCGUGCAGGAUGAAGGCCCUCGGGUUGUAAACUGCUUUUGUACAGAACGAAAAGGUUUCUACUAAUACUAGGAGCUCAUGACGGUACUGUAAGAAUAAGCACCGGCUAACUACGUGCCAGCCGCCGCAGUAA
rnacentral:rRNA from 1 species